CCUACGGGAGGCAGCAGUGAGGAAUAUUGGUCAAUGGGCGCGAGCCUGAACCAGCCAAGUCGCGUGAAGGAUGACUGCCCUACGGGUUGUAAACUUCUUUUAUAAAGGAAUAAAGUGAGGCACGUGUGCCUUUUUGUAUGUACUUUAUGAAUAAGGAUCGGCUAACUCCGUGCCAGCAGCCGCGGUAAUACGGAGGAUCCGAGCGUUAUCCGGAUUUAUUGGGUUUAAAGGGGGCGUAGAUGGGUUGUUAAGUCAGUGGUGAAAGUUUGCGGCUCAACCGUAAAAUGGCAAUUGAAACUGGCAGCCUUGAGUACAGGUGAGGUAGGCGGAAUGCGUGGUGUAGCGGUGAAAUGCUUAGAUAUCACGAAGAACUCCGAUUGCGAAGGCAGUUCACCGGACCGCAACUGACACUGAUGCUCGAAAGUGUGGGUAUCAAACAGGAUUAGAUACCCGAGUAGUC
rnacentral:rRNA from 1 species